AUGCUAACCCUAAUUCUCAUCUUUUCUCUGACUCUCCCUGCCAGUUCUAGCCCGGUGUUGUAUGAGUGGCUUUCUUCUAAAGUAAACUUCUGGCAACAGUUGGCCACAAAAGCCUUAAAUGUCUCAGAUUUUUGCCUGUCCAGUGGAGCCUCAGCCACAGACUUGUUUUCCACCUGUUUAAUUGGCAUUCCAGAACCUCUGGAAAUUUUUAGAAAUUAUACCAUGUUCCAAGACAUCCCAAAGGAUAUGUCUUACAGAGAUCUCUCUAACUGGGGAAGAGUCUCCAUGGACAAGUUGCCUGGCAUGGCUACCAUCCGCCUUGCUCAUGUUCCUCAAGCAGAAAACUGUUUUCAAAUACCCACCUGCAUCGGUGAGUGCCAUCAGCUUCCCAUUGACAACUCUCUAAAUUGUACACAUAUAGAAAAACUGUCUCAUUUGAAUGCCCAUUUGGUCCUGCCCCCAGGAUGGUUUUUCCUGUGUGGACAGACAGCCUAUGGUUAUCUACCUGCCAAUACCUCCAUGGGGAAUUGUGCAUUGGGUAGGCUGUCUCUUUUUAUGCCCUCCAAGAACGACUUAGAGUUGGCACACUUUUUGGGUCGGAAGGCAAGAUCCAUUCAGAACUUGGACCCGAAUUGUGACCCCUCAGUAGUGCUAAAAGGUAUCCCACAAUUUGUGGCGGCUGCAUUGUUCACUCCUGGAGUGGCCUCAGCCAUGAAUUAUAGGGCCAUAAAGCACCUGGCCUGCGCUCUGGUCAAAAACAUCAAUUAUACCUCUCAAGCCUUGGCAUCAGUGGCAAAGGAAAUGCAUGAGCUGCAGGAGGCUGUAUUAGAUAACAGGGCAGCUAUUGAUUUCCUCCUAUUGAAAAACCACUAUGGCUGUGAGAGUGUAAGGCACAUGUGCUGCUUUAAUUUGACAGACCAGACUCCUAUGAUUCAUAAAUCCAUCGAGGGUUUGAAUGAUUUGGCCUCAGGAAUUAAGGAGACGACUGGAUUCGACCUUAGUUUUCUGACCGAUUGGCUCCCUUCUUUAGACUGGUUGAGGAAAGGUUUUCUCCUCUUUCUAGCUGUAAUCCUUUUCCUUCUAAUAAUAAGCUGUUGCUGGUCGCAUUUGCCCGCUCUGUUCCAAAUUUGUCGCAAAAAGAACCAUUCGAACCCCUCUCAGCAGAUGGCCAUGCUGCCACUAAGAGGUUAUAAUGCUUAUGCGGUAGGGCAGGGGCGAAAUAGGCUCCGACCAUCUCGCCCCGCCCUUACCGAGUGGGGAUAUGAUAGCCGUCGCCCCAGCCUUCAAAUUGGUUUAAAAAACGCAGCGGAGAGUUCCGCCGGUCACCCACCAAAAGAACGGAGCGGGACCGCAACAGACUAUUAUUAA
ensembl:lncRNA